rnacentral:rRNA from 1 species
GAUGAACGCUGGCGGCGUGCCUAAUACAUGCAAGUCGAGCGAACAGACGAGGAGCUUGCUCCUUCGACGAUAGCGGCGGACGGGUGAGUAACACGUAGGUAACCUACCUAUAAGACUGGGAUAACUUCGGGAAACCGGAGCUAAUACCGGAUAAUAUUUCGAACCGCAUGGUUCGAUAGUGAAAGAUGGCUUUGCUAUCACUUAUAGAUGGACCUGCGCCGUAUUAGCUAGUUGGUAAGGUAACGGCUUACCAAGGCAACGAUACGUAGCCGACCUGAGAGGGUGAUCGGCCACACUGGAACUGAGACACGGUCCAGACUCCUACGGGAGGCAGCAGUAGGGAAUCUUCCGCAAAGGGCGAAAGCCUGACGGAGCAACGCCGCGUGAGUGAUGAAGGUCUUCGGAUCGUAAAACUCUGUUAUUAGGGAAGAACAAACGUGUAAGUAACUGUGCACGUCUUGACGGUACCUAAUCAGAAAGCCACGGCUAACUACGUG